CAAUUUACUACUUGUUAAUAAGAUUAGAUUAGUUUAAGGUUAAGAAAAAUAAUUUUAUAAUAGUUGUGUUAAGUAAUGUUUAGUGAAAUUAAUGUGUAUGGCUACAGAGUAAGAGUACUGUAAAGGAAAGUAAAUAAAUAAUUAAAAAUAGUAGAAGUCAAAAUUCGUACCUUGUGUAUCAGGGAGCUUCAAAAUAAUUCUAUAUUUGAUAGUAUUCCCGAAACAAAACCAGCUAAUUUUGUAAAUAAGUCCUUGUGGAAUAAUAGGUUUAGAAUAUAAAAUUAAAGAUGAAAUGUCAAACGAUUUUUGUUAUAUCUGGUUUUUUAAAAUAAAAAUUCAAUUUUACUUUUGCGAGUAUAAGGCGYAAAAGGCAAUUAUAGGAGGGAAUAGCUUCUUAUAAAUGGUAAGUUAAAUAGUUGUAUUAUUUAUGUGAGUUUUAAAUURAGCUUAAAAGUAGCUAAAUUUAUAAAGUGUUUUAACUAAUUGAGAAAUUAAAUAUUAUUUAUACAAUAACUUUUAUUAAAUAUUAAAAAAUKAUCUUUAAUCUAUUCAGUUAAUAUAAAAUGAUUUUAUUAGUAAAAUUUUAGUGUUAUAAUCAGCAUUUAAAUAUUAAUUCUUAYCUAAUAAUUUAAUGAAAUUAUAUAGGAAUUCGGCAAAUAAUUUCUUCGCCUGUUUAUCAAAAACAUGUCUGUUUGAAGGUAUAAACAGUCUAGCCUGCCCACUGAUAAAGUAUUAAAUGGCCGCGGUAUUCUGACCGUGCAAAGGUAGCAUAAUCGUUAGUUUCUUAAUUGGGAUCUUGUAUGAAUGGUUGGAUGAAAGAAAAACUGUCUUUAUAAUUAAAAUAGAMUUUAACUUUUAAGUGAAAAGGCUUAAAUGUAUUAAAGGGACGAUAAGACCCUAUAAAGCUUUACACAGUUAAAUACUAAGUUAAAUUUUAAUGAGUUAUAAAGAUUUAGUGUGGAAAUUGUGUUUCAUUGGGGCGAUGAAAGUAAAAUGUAUAAUAACUGCUUUAUUUUCCAGACAUUAAUACAUGAGUAAUAUAGAACUUAAAAGAUCCUAGAUAAAGAUUUAGAGAUUAAGUUACUUUAGGGAUAACAGCGUUAUUUUUUUUGAGAGUUCUUAUCGAAAAAAAAGUUUGCGACCUCGAUGUUGAAUUAAAAUUUCUCURUAAUUGUAGGUGUUAUAGAAGAAGGUCUGUUCGACCUUUAAAUUUUUACAUGAUUUGAGUUCAGACCGGUGUGAGCCAGGUCGGUUUCUAUCUUUUAAUAUAUCGAUAGGCUACUUUAGUACGAAAGGAUUGAGUAGCCAAAAUUAUUUUUAAUAUUGG
rnacentral:rRNA from 1 species